rnacentral:misc_RNA from 1 species
CGAACCAUUCCUUAAAGAAAGCUCCAUGGCUUCUUCUUUUUUCAAGCUUUAUUUCUCUUAAUUUCCUCCAUAAAUCUUCAUACAACCUUCACAAAAAAUUCAUUUCUAGUCUUGGGAAAGCUAUUGGUAGUAACAAAGAGAAGAAAUAUUGAAGUUUUGGAGAGCUUAAAUUGAUCUCAAAGAGGUACAGGAGAGCCACAG